rnacentral:piRNA from 1 species
UCAAUUAGUCUCCAAUAUUUCUGCCAAUCC